rnacentral:pre_miRNA from 11 species
CUGGCAUUUUCUGAACUCUCUCCCUCAUUGGCUUUCUAAGCUUGUCUGAACAUCUAGAGAAAAGGGAGAAGCUGAGGAAGCCGUGAGGGAAGAUUUCAGAAAAUGUUGG